UAGUAUCAGAUUUGAAGGCAAAGAAGCAGAGGGGAAAGUGUCGUGGUGAGAAAUUGAGAGCGAGCAUGGGAAGUAGAAUGGGAAGAAGGGUGGUGCAGUUCGCAAACCUACCGAUAAAGCUUUUGAUGCCGAACAGCUUCACCAACAUUCGAGAAAUUGCGCUCAAGACCAUUCCCUCGGCCUCCAAGAUCGAGAUCAAGCGCGUUCUCGAAUCCCUCUACGGCUUCCAGGUCGAGAAGGUUCAGACGCUGAACAUGGAGGGCAAGAAGAAGAAACGGGGCGGCUUGUUGAUCGCCAAACCUGAUUACAAAAAGGCCUACGUCACCCUCAAGAACCCGCUCUCCAUUUCGCCGGAUCUCUACCCGAUCCGAAUCGUCGAGGAGGAUAAGAAGAGGGUCAACAAGCAAACUAUGUCCAGCGUCGUCCAGCAAGAGGCCCACACCAGGAGUCACUGGCUCGAUGACAGGAAGGAGGCCCAACAACCCUUCAGGGCCCAACAACAUCGACGUUUGGGCCGGCCCGAGAGUGCAGCUAAUGCUAAGUUCCCCUGGUCUAGUAUGAGAUUGAAUGAUUGGUUUGCAGCUCUGGCACUUCUUUUUGUACGACAAAAGUGUACUGUAUUUGAACUUCACAGGAUACUGUAGGCAAGAAAGAUUUAGAAGUCUCGUGUCAAGCUACACAAGAUAUUCUUCUGUUGCGGUUAUUGUAUAUAAUGGAGGCAUUAGUCAUGGAAUAUAGAUAUACGAAAAUAGAGCAGUUGGGAGGAUGUGUUUCGUUGUUUUUGCAGUGUCGAAGGAAGGAAACUACUUGUUAGGGCAGUAGCCUAUCUCUGCAAUUCUGUAUUUCAAAUUCUUGUUAAUUUCACACUUGUUAUCAAUAAAAUUCUGUAAUUUGUUGUGCAA